CCACAUUAUCUCAUCCUGUGGAUGGACUCCCUCUGGGUGUGAAGGGUUGAGAAAUUUUGGCUACAUAUGGACCCAGGCAUCUUUCUAGCUGUAGAUUCCAAAGGAAGAAGAGACCUUUCUUUUCUCUAUUGAGUACAAAUAAACCUCUGCAUCUUGCUUCUGGACUAAAUUUGAUCUUCAACAUCAACAUCAAGCAGAGCAGCAACACCUGGGAACCUGUGAUGAAUGCAAAUUCUCAGGCCCACCCUAUACCUACUGAGUCAGAAACACUGAGGCAAGAUCCUCUACCAAGGAUGUAUUAAAGCAGGAGCUGUUUCCUACCAAGAAAAUGAAAAUCUCAGUCAUUAAGUGCCCAAAUGUAAGGCCAGAUUGCUUGCGUUUAAAUCUUGGUUUUGCUACUGGCCAGCUGUGUGAUCCAAAGAAAACUACUGUGUCUUCAUCUCCUCAUCUAUCAAAUGGGUGUACAACCAAUCCUACUUCAUGGGACUUAUUUAUGUAUACAAUUGAAUGACUUUGGAUAUAUGCAUAUACAUGUGAAAUCAUGACUACAAUCAAGAGUCUCGCUCAGUCGCUGGGAGCCAGGCUGGAAUGCAAUGGCAAGACCUCCGCUCACUGCAACCUCUGCCUCCUGGGUUUAAGAAAUUCUCCUGCCUCAGCCUCCCAAGCAUAUAAUAUGCUUCUCCUUGUCUCCCAACUCCCAUUGCAAUGUCCAACCAAAUGGAGGUGCAAGGAAGGGCUAAGUGUGUGGCUGAGUGCCUGGCACAUGGAUUCUUUGGCUGCAAGUAGCAGAAUCCAAUUCAAGGAAGCAGAAGCAAAAAUAUAUGAGCACUUGUACAAG
rnacentral:lncRNA from 13 species